rnacentral:rRNA from 1 species
UGGGGAAUAUUGCACAAUGGGCGCAAGCCUGAUGCAGCCAUGCCGCGUGUAUGAAGAAGGCCUUCGGGUUGUAAAGUACUUUCAGCGAGGAGGAAGGCGUUGUGGUUAAUAACCGCAACGAUUGACGUUACUCGCAGAAGAAGCACCGGCUAACUCCGAGCCAGCAGCCGCGGUAAUACGGAGGGUGCAAGCGUUAAUCGGAAUUACUGGGCGUAAAGCGCACGCAGGCGGUCUGUCAAGUCGGAUGUGAAAUCCCCGGGCUCAACCUGGGAACUGCAUCCGAAACUGGCAGGCUAGAGUCUUGUAGAGGGGGGUAGAAUUCCAGGUGUAGCGGUGAAAUGCGUAGAGAUCUGGAGGAAUACCGGUGGCGAAGGCGGCCCCCUGGACAAAGACUGACGCUCAGGUGCGAAAGCGUGGGGAGCAAACA